CCUACGGGAGGCAGCAGUGGGGGAUAUUGCACAAUGGGGGGAACCCUGAUGCAGCGACGCCGCGUGGGUGAAGGAGUGCUUCGGCAUGUAAAGCCCUAUCGGCAGGGAAGAAGCAAGACGGUACCUGAAGAAGAAGCCCCGGCUAACUACGUGCCAGCAGCCGCGGUAAUACGUAGGGGGCAAGCGUUAUCCGGAUUUACUGGGUGUAAAGGGGGCGCAGACGGCGAUGCAAGCCAGGAGUGAAAGCCCGGGGCCCAACCCCGGGACUGCUCUUGGAACUGCGUGGCUAGAGUGCAGGAGGGGCAGGCGGAAUUCCUGGUGUAGCGGUGAAAUGCGUAGAUAUCAGGAGGAACACCGGUGGCGAAGGCGGCCUGCUGGACUGCAACUGACGUUGAGGCCCGAAAGCGUGGGGAGCAAACAGGAUUAGAUACCCUUGUAGUC
rnacentral:rRNA from 1 species